CGAACGCUGGCGGCAUGCCUAACACAUGCAAGUCGAACGAGACCUUCGGGUCUAGUGGCGCACGGGUGCGUAACGCGUGGGAACCUGCCCUUAGGUUCGCAAUAACUCCCCGAAAGGGGUGCUAAUACCGGAUAAUGUCUUCGGACCAAAGAUUUAUCGCCUUUGGAUGGGCCCGCGUUGGAUUAGCUAGUUGGUAGGGUAAAAGCCUACCAGGGCGACGAUCCAUAGCUGGUCUGAGAGGAUGAUCAGCCACACUGGGACUGAGACACGGCCCAGACUCCUACGGGAGGCAGCAGUGGGGAAUAUUGGACAAUGGGCGAAAGCCUGAUCCAGCAAUGCCGCGUGAGUGAUGAAGGCCUUAGGGUUGUAAAGCUCUUUUACCCGGGAUGAUAAUGACAGUACCGGGAGAAUAAGCUCCGGCUAACUCCGUG
rnacentral:rRNA from 1 species